rnacentral:rRNA from 1 species
UACGAAGGGGGCUAGCGUUGCUCGGAAUCACUGGGCGUAAAGCGCACGUAGGCGGAUCUUUAAGUCAGGGGUGAAAUCCCAAGGCUCAACCUUGGAACUGCCUUUGAUACUGGGGAUCUCGAGUCCGGAAGAGGUGAGUGGAACUGCGAGUGUAGAGGUGAAAUUCGUAGAUAUUCGCAAGAACACCAGUGGCGAAGGCGGCUCACUGGUCCGGUACUGACGCUGAGGUGCGAAAGCGUGGGGAGCGAACAGG